CCCUUAGAUGUUCUGGGCCGCACGCGCGCUACACUGAUGCAUUCAACGAGCCUAUCCUUGACCGACAGGUCCGGGUAAUCUUUGAAUCUGCAUCGUGACGGGGAUAGAUUAUUGCAAUUAUUAAUCUUCAACGAGGAAUGCCUAGUAGGCGCAAGUCAUCAGCUUGCGUCGAUUACGUCCCUGCCCUUUGUACACACCGCCCGUCGCUCCUGCCGAUUGGGUGUGCUGGUGAAAUGUUCGGAUCGGCCGUUUGUCGCGGUUUCCGCGUCAUGUGGCUGAGAAGUUCAUUAAACCCUCCCACCUAGAGGAAGGAGAAGUCGUAACA
rnacentral:rRNA from 1 species